rnacentral:rRNA from 1 species
AGCAUAUCAAUAAGCGGAGGAAAAGAAACCAACUGGGAUUGCCUUAGUAACGGCGAGUGAAGCGGCAAUAGCUCAAAUUUGAAAGCUGGCCCCUUUGGGGUCCGCGUUGUAAUUUGUAGAGGAUGAUUCGGCGAGGGCUCCCGUCUAAGUCCCCUGGAACGGGGCGUCAUAGAGGGUGAGAAUCCCGUAUGUGAUGGGUUGCCUUAGCCAUGUGAAUCUCCUUCGACGAGUCGAGUUGUUUGGGAAUGCAGCUCUAAAUGGGAGGUAAAUUUCUUCUAAAGCUAAAUACCGGCCAGAGACCGAUAGCGCACAAGUAGAGUGAUCGAAAGAUGAAAAGCACUUUGGAAAGAGAGUUAAAAAGUACGUGAAAUUGUUGAAAGGGAAGCGCUUGCAGCCAGACUUGUCCGCAGUUGCUCAGCCGGUCUCCUGACCGGCGUACUCUUCUGCGGCCAGGCCAGCAUCAGUUCGGGCGGUCGGAUAAAGACCCUAGGAAUGUAGCUCCUCUCGGGGAGUGUUAUAGCCUGGGGUGGAAUGCGGCCAGCCUGGACUGAGGAUCUCGCUUCGGCUAGGAUGCUGGCGUAAUGGCUGUAAGCGGCCCGUCUUGAAACACGGACCAAGGAGUCUAACAUCUAUGCGAGUGUUUGGGUGUCAAACCCAUACGCGUAAUGAAAGUGAACGGAGGUGGGAACCCUCACGGGUGCACCAUCGACCGAUCCUGAUGUCUUCGGAUGGAUUUGAGUAAGAGCAUAGCUGUUGGGACCCGAAAGAUGGUGAACUAUGCCUGAAUAGGGUGAAGCCAGAGGAAACUCUGGUGGAGGCUCGCAGCGGUUCUGACGUGCAAAUCGAUCGUCAAAUUUGGGUAUAGGGGCGAAAGACUAAUCGAACCAUC